rnacentral:rRNA from 1 species
GACGAACGCUGGCGGCGUGCCUAAUACAUGCAAGUAGAACGCUGAAGAGAGGAGCUUGCUCUUCUUGGAUGAGUUGCGAACGGGUGAGUAACGCGUAGGUAACCUGCCUGGUAGCGGGGGAUAACUAUUGGAAACGAUAGCUAAUACCGCAUAAAAUUGAUUAUUGCAUGAUAAUUAAUUGAAAGAUGCAAUUGCAUCACUACCAGAUGGACCUGCGUUGUAUUAGCUAGUUGGUGAGGUAACGGCUCACCAAGGCGACGAUACAUAGCCGACCUGAGAGGGUGAUCGGCCACACUGGGACUGAGACACGGCCCAGACUCCUACGGGAGGCAGCAGUAGGGAAUCUUCGGCAAUGGGGGGAACCCUGACCGAGCAACGCCGCGUGAGUGAAGAAGGUUUUCGGAUCGUAAAGCUCUGUUGUAAGAGAAGAACGGGUGUGAGAGUGGAAAGUUCACACUGUGACGGUAUCUUACCAGAAAGGGACGGCUAACUACGUGCCAGCAGCCGCGGUAAUACGUAGGUCCCGAGCGUUGUCCGGAUUUAUUGGGCGUAAAGCGAGCGCAGGCGGUUAGAUAAGUCUGAAGUUAAAGGCUGUGGCUUAACCAUAGUAUGCUUUGGAAACUGUUUAACUUGAGUGCAGAAGGGGAGAGUGGAAUUCCAUGUGUAGCGGUGAAAUGCGUAGAUAUAUGGAGGAACACCGGUGGCGAAAGCGGCUCUCUGGUCUGUAACUGACGCUGAGGCUCGAAAGCGUGGGGAGCGAACAGGAUUAGAUACCCUGGUAGUCCACGCCGUAAACGAUGAGUGCUAGGUGUUAGGCCCUUUCCGGGGCUUAGUGCCGCAGCUAACGCAUUAAGCACUCCGCCUGGGGAGUACGACCGCAAGGUUGAAACUCAAAGGAAUUGACGGGGGCCCGCACAAGCGGUGGAGCAUGUGGUUUAAUUCGAAGCAACGCGAAGAACCUUACCAGGUCUUGACAUCCCUCUGUCCGCUCUAGAGAUAGAGUUUUCCUUCGGGACAGAGGUGACAGGUGGUGCAUGGUUGUCGUCAGCUCGUGUCGUGAGAUGUUGGGUUAAGUCCCGCAACGAGCGCAACCCCUAUUGUUAGUUGCCAUCAUUGAGUUGGGCACUCUAGCGAGACUGCCGGUAAUAAACCGGAGGAAGGUGGGGAUGACGUCAAAUCAUCAUGCCCCUUAUGACCUGGGCUACACACGUGCUACAAUGGCUGGUACAACGAGUCGCAAGCCGGUGACGGCAAGCUAAUCUCUGAAAGCCAGUCUCAGUUCGGAUUGUAGGCUGCAACUCGCCUACAUGAAGUCGGAAUCGCUAGUAAUCGCGGAUCAGCACGCCGCGGUGAAUACGUUCCCGGGCCU